AGCCAGAGGAAAAAAAAAAAAAAAGAAUGCCAGCUUUUUGCACUUGAGGGGACAAAUGGGAACCACAAAAUGGUCUCAGACUGUCCCCAGCACCCUGUGCCCCCCAGGCUCUGCUCCACCUGCACAAAAUGUUCUGGAGAGUCUCCUCCUCCCUCUGACUUAAGAAGUUUGUCAUGGCCCUUUCCUGGCAAGGGAUAUUUACAGGUGAAGAUGCUGGGGGCGUUUAGGCUGGCAGGAGCUGGCAGCUUUAUUUCCAGGCUUUUCCCCAGGAAUACUAAGGGCACUCAGAAAGGCAAGAACAAAGCUACAACUUUAUUUGAGAGCAAAACAAAAGCAAACAAAUGCAUACCCAGAAGACCAAGCGUUGAAAGGGAGCGGGAGACGGCUCAGGCAGCAUCUGAGGCGGCCCUUGGACACCUCAUGACUGUUAAAAAGUUUCCUGAGGAGCAAAGGCUUUUUGUUGGUUGGUUUGUUUGUUUGUUCGCAUCAAGAAAACAAAGUGGAAGGAUUGCUGAUGCCUUUGGUGGUAAAUGAAGACAAAUACCUCUCGAUUGUGGAGAUUGCCAGCAUGGAAAAAGCUCUGCUUGCAUCAUUUUGGGAAGAGGCUGAGAAUGCUUUCGGGGUCCUCGCCAGGCUGACUUCUCAAAGAUGAGCUCCUCACCACAAACCCCAGGGAUAUCUACACCCUGCAGCUCUCGGGAAGCUGAAUGCUGGCAUGUGUCCCCUUGAGCGACAUCCCUUCUUGUUCCACAGAUGUCAAGAGCCUUGGAGAACCCUCCUCCCCUGAUACUUUCACAGCCUCAAUAUUUUGGAAAAAAUUGCUGUUUCUCACUUAA